GAAAGUUGAGGUGUGUACUGUCAUUGAGAGAGGGAAGCUAUUUCAGAAAUCAUUUUGUUUCUCAGUUUUCCUUUGUUUUACUUUACCGACUCGGACUUGGAAGGUGGACAACAUAGACAUAAUAAGAAAAGAACACAGAAGAGAAGAAUAUCCGGUCAGCUCCCUGCAGAAGUUAAAUGUGAAAAGAGCUAAAGAGGCGUGACUGGCAAGUACAAGCAGGAGAGGAGAGACGCAGAUACUGCCAGCAAAAAAUCGGCUUUCUUGAGCUUCCUGGGAUCGUUGCCUCACUCAGAUGGCUUAGAGUCCACGAAAACCUCAAAGGACCAGCUGGACCCUCACAAGCUCGAUGUGUUCAUAGAUGCUGUGUGUCUGCAGUUGCAGAAAAUGCAACGAGUCCCACUCAAAGAUAACCGACCCUCCACUCCAAGGAUUAGGAUUGUGACAUUUUUUAGUUUCAGUUUGGUUCCACCAUUUGUACUACAUGCUUGUGACAGAGUGCCUUCACUACAGCUGAGUAAGCGCUUGGACCGCCAUACCAACGAGCCUGGCUUUUUGGCGUUGCUAUCAAAGUUGCAUGUUUGGUACCUUGUAGACCUGUGUUCAAAUCUGGGUAAGGUGACUGCUCUCGCCUUUGGCUGCAUAUGGUGUCAGAAGUGGGAUGGCUUGCCGUGAGGUCAUCUGAGCUGUGCCCAGAGUCCGAACCGUAUGAGGUCCCUCAUACGGGUAACAUUAAUGAUGGGAUGUGUAUAGUGUACUUUUCAGUAAUACUGAUCAUAUGUCAUAAUUUUACUGAUUUUAUUUUUAUUUAGGUAUUUCGGUCAAGAUGUAAUACAUGCUGCUGUACCUUUUAAUGUACAGGAAGUUAUUUUUGUAAUAUACACAAAAUUAAAGUUUUU